rnacentral:rRNA from 1 species
GAUGAACGCUGGCGGCGUGCCUAAUACAUGCAAGUCGAGCGAACGGACGAGAAGCUUGCUUCUCUGAUGUUAGCGGCGGACGGGUGAGUAACACGUGGAUAACCUACCUAUAAGACUGGGAUAACUUCGGGAAACCGGAGCUAAUACCGGAUAAUAUUUUGAACCGCAUGGUUCAAUAGUGAAAGACGGUCUUGCUGUCACUUAUAGAUGGAUCCGCGCUGCAUUAGCUAGUUGGUAAGGUAACGGCUUACCAAGGCAACGAUGCAUAGCCGACCUGAGAUGGUGAUCGGCCACACUGGAACUGAGACACGGUCCAGACUCCUACGGGAGGCAGCAGUAGGGAAUCUUCCGCAAUGGGCGAAAGCCUGACGGAGCAACGCCGCGUGAGUGAUGAAGGUCUUCGGAUCGUAAAACUCUGUUAUUAGGGAAGAACAUAUGUGUAAGUAACUGUGCACAUCUUGACGGUACCUAAUCAGAAAGCCACGGCUAACUACGUG